UACGUAGGGACCAAGCGUUGUUCGGAUUUACUGGGCGUAAAGGGCGCGUAGGCGGCGCGGUAAGUCACUUGUGAAAUCUCUGAGCUUAACUCAGAACGGCCAAGUGAUACUGCAGUGCUAGAGUGUGGAAGGGGCAAUCGGAAUUCUUGGUGUAGCGGUGUAAUGCGUAGAUAUCAAGAGGAACACCUGAGGUGAAGACGGGUUGCUGGGCCAACACUGACGCUGAUGCGCGAAAGCCAGGGGAGCAAACGGG
rnacentral:rRNA from 1 species